UGGGAGGACAACAACAGCUGGAUGCGGGAGGACAACAACAGCUGGAUGCGGGAGGACAACAGCUGGAUGCGGGAGGACAACAACAGCUGGAUGCGGGAGGACAACAACAGUCGGAUGCAGGCGGGCAACAGUCGGACAUGGGCUGGCAACAGUCGGACAUGGGCUAGUAACAGUCAGAUGCAGGCGGGCAACAGUCAGAGGCUGGCAACAGUCGGACGCGGGCAGGCAACAGUCAGAUGCAGGUGGGCAACAGUCGGACAGGGGCUGGCAACAGUCGGACAUGGGCAGGCAACAGUCAGAGGCUG
ensembl:lncRNA